GAUGAACGCUGGCGGCGUGCCUAAUACAUGCAAGUCGAACGCGAGAGGAGGGAGCUUGCUCCCUCUGAUCGAGUGGCGGACGGGUGAGUAACACGUAGGCAACCUGCCCAUCAGUCCGGGAUAACCGAGGGAAACCGUGGCUAAUACCGGAUGAUCCUCUCCACCGCGGGGUGGGGAGUUGAAAGACGGUUUCGGCUGUCGCUGAUGGAUGGGCCUGAGGCGCAUUAGCUGGUUGGCGGGGUAACGGCCCACCAAGGCAACGAUGCGUAGCCGACCUGAGAGGGUGAUCGGCCACACUGGGACUGAGACACGGCCCAGACUCCUACGGGAGGCAGCAGUAGGGAAUCUUCCGCAAUGGACGCAAGUCUGACGGAGCAACGCCGCGUGAGUGAAGAAGGGUUUCGGCUCGUAAAACUCUGUUGUUAAGGAAGAACGACAGGUAGAGUAACUGCUACCUGUGUGACGGUACUUAACCAGAAAGCCACGGCUAACUACGUGCCAGCCGCCGCAGUAA
rnacentral:rRNA from 1 species